rnacentral:rRNA from 1 species
AAAGGAAUUGACGGGGGCCCGCACAAGCGGUGGAGCAUGUGGUUUAAUUCGAUGCAACGCGAAGAACCUUACCAUCCCUUGACAUCCAGAGAAGACUUCAGAGAUGAGGUUGUGCCUUCGGGAACUCUGAGACAGGUGCUGCAUGGCUGUCGUCAGCUCGUGUUGUGAGAUGUUGGGUUAAGUCCCGCAACGAGCGCAACCCUUAUCCUUAGUUGCCAGCACGUAAAGGUGGGAACUCUAGGGAGACUGCCGGUGAUAAACCGGAGGAAGGUGGGGACGACGUCAAGUCAUCAUGGCCCUUACGGGAUGGGCUACACACGUGCUACAAUGGCGUACACAAAGGGCAGCAAGCAUGCGAGUGCAAGCGAAUCUCAAAAAGUACGUCGUAGUCCGGAUUGGAGUCUGCAACUCGACUCCAUGAAGUCGGAAUCGCUAGUAAUCGUGGAUCAGAAUGCCACGGUGAAUACGUUCCCGGGCCUUGUACACACCGCCCGU